rnacentral:rRNA from 1 species
UAACGAUUGGAAACGAUCGCUAAUACCGCAUGACAUAGCGGAACCGCAUGGUUCUGUUAUCAAAGAUUUUAUCGCUGAUAGAUGGGCUCGCGUCCGAUUAGAUAGUUGGUGGGGUAACGGCCUACCAAGUCGACGAUCGGUAGCCGGACUGAGAGGUCGAACGGCCACAUUGGGACUGAGACACGGCCCAGACUCCUACGGGAGGCAGCAGUGGGGGAUAUUGCACAAUGGGGGAAACCCUGAUGCAGCGACGCCGCGUGAGGGAAGACGGUCCUCUGGAUUGUAAACCUCUGUCUUCGGGGACGAAACGAGACGGUACCCGAGGAGGAAGCCACGGCUAACUACGUGCCAGCAGCCGCGGUAAUACGUAGGUGGCAAGCGUUGUCCGGAAUUACUGGGUGUAAAGGGAGCGUAGGCGGGCAGGCAAGUCAGGCGUGAAAUAUAUCGGCUCAACCGGUAACGGCGCUUGAAACUGCAGGUCUUGAGUGAAGUAGAGGUUGGCGGAAUUCCUAGUGUAGCGGUGAAAUGCGUAGAUAUUAGGAGGAACACCAGUGGCGAAGGCGGCCAACUGGGCUUUUACUGACGCUGAGGCUCGAAAGUGUGGGGAGCAAACAGGAUUAGAUACCCUGGUAGUCCACACCGU